rnacentral:misc_RNA from 1 species
UCUAAGGAGCACCACGAAAAAGGUUGGAACACCAGGUUUCACCUAGCCGUGAGGAACUCGUUGCCUGUAGUGGGUAGGGGUUUGGUGCACGACAAACGUUGAGCUGCAACGGGAUCGACUUCGGUCGGGUUGCGGUGAUGGAAUCAUCAGACACACUAUUGGGCUUUGAGACAACAGGCCCGUUGUUCCCUGGCCACUGUGUGUGGUGGGAGGCGUGUUGUUGCCCUGCUUUGGUGGUGGGGUGUGGUGUUUGAUUUGUGGAUAGUGGUUGCGAGCAUCUGAGCGCGCGGGGUCGUUGUGGCCUUGUGUGUUCAGCUGUAAUGCAAAUUUUUUCUGAGCUCGGGCGUGCCCUUUGUGGGGUGUGUUCGGGUGAUGACUCAUUUUUUGGUUUUGUGUUGUAAGUGUUUAAGGGCGCAUGGUGGAUGCCUUGGCACUGGGAGCCGAUGAAGGACGUGGGAGGCUGCGAUAUGCCUCGGGGAGCUGUCAACCGAGCGUGGAUCCGAGGAUGUCCGAAUGGGGAAACCCGG